UCAACGUUUCAGUCCUGCACAGAGGACUUUCAUCAGGAUGAAAUGUCAAAGGUAUUUGAUCCUGAUGAAAGUCCUCUGUGCAGGACUGAAACG